CAGUGCCGACGGCAUCAGUUGGCGAUAGGACCGCAUGGACAUUACCGUCCCCAUGGCCCCCUCAUUCACAAAUUAUUGUAAAAGCAGACUACAUCGCUGCUGCCCUGUUCGUCAGUGACAUGCAGAAUGCCCGGAGGGCUCAUAGAGGCAGGAGCCAAUCUGUACACCCGUAGUGUACCACAUGGAGCAAAGAAGAGAAAGGCAGGUCAGCAAGGGCUUUAGAAAUACGGAGACCUUCAAACGCUAAAAACGGACAUUUCAUUAGAAAACAAGGAGGAACUGCAAUACCAUAAAAAGAAACAGCAGCGAUUUAAGUAUCCCUCUUUAUUCUCCAAAUGGCAUCUACUUCAAGACGAUACUCAUUAAAAAAGGAGACUCUGGCCAUGGUCAUUUUCAAUACCAGAAAUCUGCAAUAAAUUGCUGACUGCUCCUAAAGUGAACAGACCAGAAGACUCGCUAUAAAGAGCCUUUAAUGAAAAGAAAAAUGUGGCCACUGCUC